UGUUGGUGCUAAUAUUAACACAUAAUAAAACUCUCUCAAUCAGACUGAGAGCUGGGAAGACUGUCUGCAUAUGUUAAUAAAGUUUGAAAAUACAAAGUAGAGCUGUAAACAUUAGAGAACUCUGCCCACCUGGGGCUCCAGCAGGUGGAAUGUGAUUGGAACCUGGACAACCUGGAGUGGGCGGGGCUAGAGUCAUGUGACCCCCCACAAGAGCACGUGGACACCAAGUCAUGUGAGUAACCAGGAAAUGAUCCAAUUGCUGAGAGUGUUAUACAGAGAGAGACCCAGUGUGUGUGUUAUACAGAGAGAGAGAGACCCAGAGAGUGUUAUACAGAGAGAGAGAGAGAGAGAGACCCAGAGACCCAGAGUGUGUUAUACAGAGAGAGAGAGAGAGAGAGAGACCCAGAGUGUGUUAUACAGAGAGAGAGAGACCCAGAGAGUGUUAUACAGAGAGAGAGAGAGACCCAGAGUGUGUUAUACAGAGAGAGAGCCAGAGUGUGUUAUACAGAGAGAGACCCAGAGAGUGUUAUACAGAGAGAGAGCCAGAGUGUGUUAUACAGAGAGAGAGAGAGACCCAGAGAGUGUUAUACAGAGAGAGAGACCCAGAGUGUGUUAUACAGAGAGAGAGAGACCCAGAGAGUGUUAUACAGAGAGAGAGACCCAGAGUGUGUUAUACAGAGAGAGAGAGAGACCCAGAGAGUGUUAUACAGAGAGAGAGCCAGAGUGUGUUAUACAGAGAGAGAGAGAGACCCAGAGAGUGUUAUACAGAG